rnacentral:rRNA from 1 species
UAAUCAUUUGUCUACUAAUUAUAGACCAGUAUGAAAGGCCACAUGAGAGCCAAACUGUCUCUUAUAGUUAAUCAAUUAAACUGAUCUACUAGUACAAAAGCUAGAAUGAAUAUAUAAGACCAGAAGACCCUGUGAAGCUUAAACUAACCUAUUAAAUCAACUAAUAGCUACUUUAGGUUGGGGCGACCUUGGAACAAAACAAAACUUCCAAAUAAAAUGAGACAUAACUCAUAUAAAGGCCAACAAGCCACUUCACGACCCAGUACAACUGAUAAUUGAACCAAGUUACUCCAGGGAUAACAGCGCCAUCUUCUUCAAGAGCCCAUAUCAAAAAGAAGGUUUACGACCUCGAUGUUGGAUCAGGACACCCAAAUGGUGCAGUCGCUAUUAAAGGUU